AAUCUAGGUUUAAAAGGUACUUAAUUUUAUGGUGUUCUUUAGUCUAUUUUUGCAUCAUGUGAUAUGUCCUGUAUUUUUACUCUAAGUUUAAAAGGUACUUAAUUUUGUGGUGUUCUUUAGUCUAUUUUGUGGUGUUCUUUUAAGGUAUAUCUGAAACAAUCUUGAUAUAUUUGAAAAUCUUGAGACUAAAUUUUAUAUUAUGAUUUUCAUGAAGGAGAAAGCAAGACUUGAAGAGUAACAGUGGAGGUGGAGCUCUGCCACAUCCCAAUAGUUCGAUUUAAUCUUGGUGUUGUGAAAGGAGAGAUAGAUAUGAGCAGCUGUUUGUUCACUAGAAGAAAUUACCUAGAGACUUCUCAAUUUAUAGGCACACAUUCAAUUUCAAACUCUUGCCUAAAUUUGCUGGAAGUUUUGGUUUAACUUAGUAUUCUUCUCAAUUCAAGGUAUGCUUUUCUCUUUUGUUCUUUUCAAAUUUUUAUGACUUAUCUGUUCUCUUUCUACAUAUGACUAUCCAAAAUUUAUGAGCUUUAUAUUAUUUAAAUUUAUAUUUAAUGUAUAUGGUUUAUAAUACAGGAUUGGCUUUUAUUUCUGUCACCACUGAUCCUAUGCUUCAAAGCCUCGUUGUCAUAUAUUAGGUUCCCUUAUAAUUUGAAGUAUUCCUCUGAUUAAUUAUCCACUAAGUAUAAAAAUUGGUGACUUCUGUUUUUGAAUUCAUUAGCUUAUGCCUAUUAUUGUUCUUAUAUCUCCCUCCCUAUUGAUGUUUAUUUGACUCAUUGAUGAAUUAGAAUAAGAUAAUAUAAUUACUUUGCUCAAUUAGACUUAUUUAUUUAUUGAGAUACCAACAUGUAGGUGCGCUCCCAUAUUUUUAAGUGCUCUUAAGUCACUGUUCAAAAACUUGCAACCGGAGCUCAACUGUAUUCGGUGCCAAAAGUUGGAUUGCUCCCGCGUGUCGAUGAUAAUGGCGUUAUUGUCCCAAGACAUGUUCCCUGAAGUUAUUACCAAAAUUCUGUCUCAUCUAGCUGUAAGCUUGUGUUUUCAAACUGCUAUGUAUUUUGUGAGAAACAAGCUAUCGAAAAACCAUUUGUAUGGCCCAUGUCUUCCAAUUUCGUAGUUGUCUUAUAUGAGUUUUUGUUAGAUUCUUUUGCUUGGCGGGAUUGGAAAAGGUGGGAGAAGGAGAUCCCAAGUCUCAUUUUUGUUGGAAU